CAUACUGGAUGACAAAAUGUUUGUAUGACAUCUACAGAUGGCAAGUAGACAUUUAUUUCUGAUGUG
rnacentral:snoRNA from 1 species